rnacentral:rRNA from 1 species
GACGUAGGGCGCGAGCGUUGUUCGGAAUUACUGGGCGUAAAGGGCUCGUAGGCGGCCAACUAAGUCAGACGUGAAAUCCCUCAGCUUAACUGGGGAACUGCGUCUGAUACUGGAUGGCUUGGAUUCGGGAGAGGAAUGCGGAAUUCCAGGUGUAGCUGGUGAAAUGCGUAGAUAUCUGGAGGAACACCGGUGGCGAAGGCGGCAUUCUGGACCGACAUUGACGCUGAGGAGCGAAAGCCAGGGGAGCAAACGGG